ACAAUUUCAAAACUACAACUAACCCACUGAGCCGUCAAGAAAGGGCAAAGUAAAAACACCGCUUUUGGGUGAAGCGGCAGCAUGUUGUGCUGUUUUGCUUCAAUCGGUGGUGUGACAAGG